CACGUAGGGCGCAAGCGUUGUCCGGAAUUAUUGGGCGUAAAGAGCUCGUAGGCGGUCUGUUUACGUCUGCUGUGAAAACCCGGGGCGUUAACCCUGGGCUUGCAGUGGAUACGGGCAGACUAGAGGUAGGCAGGGGAGAGCGGAACUCCUGGUGUAGCGGUGGAAUGCGCAGAUAUCAGGAAGAACACCGGUGGCGAAGGCGGCUCUCUGGGCCUUACCUGACGCUGAGGAGCGAAAAGCGUGGGUAGCGAACAGG
rnacentral:rRNA from 1 species